AGUGUUCUGACCUCUGCCCUAGAUCUAGACAUUUACAGGAAAUAUAGGGGACAAAAGAGCAUGUUAAGCAACAUUUACGGGGCAUGAUCGGCAAAUCCAGAAUAGUGGGAAUUUCUAUAGAACCAAAAAUUUAAUUCUUCAGCAAAUAAAUUGUUGAAAAAGUGAGGGAGGAAUUCUGUAGACUAAAAGAGAACUAAAGAACAUCCUUCAAAAUGAUUGGAAGGAGAGGACCCGGUUAGAUCUUGAUUCACACAAAAGAGCUGAAAUUUUAAAAAAAAUGAGACGGUAGGGUGCAUUUGAAUACUGAUAGAUAUUUGACAAAACUGAGGAGUUCUCACCAAGUGGUUGGUAGUGUUAUUGAGGUUCUUUUAAAAAUUCUUACUUUGAGAGCUACAAGGUGAAAUAUUUAUGCAUCCAACCAGAUCAUGUUUUGGAUUUCUUUCAAAAUAAUCCAAUAAAUGAGGGGUUGGGUAGAAAAAUAAAACAAGAUUGGCCAAAGUGUUAAUAAUUUGUAAAAUCAGGUGAUGGGUACGAGGAGAUUCAAUAGACCAGUCUCUCUUCUUUUAUACAUGUUUGAACAUUUUUAUGAUGAAAAGUAAAGAAAAACCAUACCAUGGAAUACUAUUUGGCAACAGAAAGGAAGGAAGGAACGCUACGUGCCACAACAUGCGAAGUGAAAGCAGCCAGACACGAGAGACCACAUUUCCUACGAGUCCAUUGAUAUGAAAUGUUCAAAGGAGGCAAAUCUUUAGAGACAGAAAGUAGAUUAGUGGUUGCCUGGGGCUGGGGGCUGGGAGGAAGGGCGAUGACUAACGGACAUGUGGUUUCUUGCUGGAGAGACGAAAAUGUUCUGCAGUUAGAUGCUGGCGAAAGUUGUAUAGUUCUGUAAAUAUACUAAAAAGCAUCGAAUCGUAUACUUUCAAUUGGUGGAUUUUAUGGUGCAUAAAUUGUAUUUCAAUAAAGCUGUCGUUAAAAGCUCUCUAGAGUAAAAGGAAAGGACAAAACCCGUACCUUAUUCCCUAGGUCCUAUCACUAAGUCUGAAACACCCACAAAACUGCUCUAAACCGAAGGAGUUAGCCAAAAUUUAUUCACUGCUCUUUUAGCCAGUUACCCGGCACACGCGCAGAAGCAGAAGCCAUUCCUCACCACCAGACUGCCCUCCCUGCAUGUAGCUGGUGGCCACCUGCUUCCUCUCUGCAUUUUAAUAUUUUCACUUUCCUUUAAAAGGUCCAUGCUUUCUGCGGUUUGGCCACACUUGGUGAUUUAUGCCCUCUCCUCUCUGGCCUUUGCUCUAAUCAACAGCUGCAAUUCAAAAGUAAUAACACUCAGUGAUCCAGACAUGAUUUCGACAAACAUCGCUACAUCUCAUUCUGGAACAUGGCUUCUCAGCAAAGGGCACUCAGCAGGACUGUUACAUGUCUCUUCGGCAAGUACAACUCCCGCACUCGUAGCAACGAUAUCGUGUCGUUCUCCCAAGCUCACGGGCAUCGAGCCCUAUUCUGGUGGUUUGGGGUAUGAACUAAGGCUCACAACGACCCUACAAGGCAGAUAUGAGUGGGACGUUCUUUUUCACAGGUCAGAUAAUGAAGGCGCAAAGAGGUUAAUUCAGCAGCUUAAGCUCACCCAGCUGGAAAGUGGUGGAGCCAGGAUCUGAACCUCACCAGUCUGGAUCCGGAGCUCUUAGGCACGAUGCUGUUGCAUGGGCAGUAAUCUAAUCUUUAAGAAGCAGCAAACACCCCUAUGUAGCCAUGAGAACUCACCAUUUUUUGGACAUUCUCGUCUGUGAUAUUGGUGUUAUAAUUCCAGGAAGCAAGUGAACUUUGAUAAGACAGCUCUUCGGCUUCAUGGUUAAACUUCUC